rnacentral:rRNA from 1 species
AUGGCGAGCGGCAGGAGGGAUCUUGCCGCGGCGACGAUCACGCUAGCCGUGCUGCUCGUGCUCUUCUUGCCUAUCACCGCCGCCGCCACGGUCCCCAGCAUCGAUGCCACGCGGACGCGCCACCUGCCGCUGCGACACGGACUGCUGCGCGGCCCUGAGAGCGUCACCUUCGACGCCAAAGGGAACGGCCCGUACAGCGGCGUGUCAGACGGCCGCGUCCUGAAGUGGAACGGCCACAAGCUCGGCUGGUCGACGUACACCUAUAACCCCGACUACAGCAGCGAGGCGUGCACGGCGUCUCUCCUUCGCCCGGACACUGCCACCGAGGGCCACUGCGGCCGGCCGCUCGGUCUGCGGUUCCACCUCAAGUCCGGGUACCUCUACGUGGCCGACGCCUACAAGGGACUCAUGCGGGUUACGCCGGGCGGCGGGGAGGCGACUGUGCUUGUCACGGAGGUUGAUGGCGUGUCUCUCCGCUUCACCAACGGGGUGGACAUUGACCAGGUAACCGGCGAGGUCUACUUCACGGACAGCUCCAGGAACUACAAUAGGUCACAACAUGAGAUGGUCACAAGAACCGGAGACUCAGACGGGCCGUGUAAGCUGCUACGAUACUGGAUCAAGGGCUCCAAGGCGGGCACGAUGGAGCUAUUUGCCGACCUCCCGGGAUAUCCAGACAAUGUGAGGCCUGAUAAGAAAGGAGGAUACUGGGUGGCGCUACACCAUGAGAAGGAUGAGCUCCCCUUUGGCGUCGAUAGCCACCUGCUUGCCCUGAGGAUCGAUGUUGACGGAAAAAUAAUCGAGGAGAUGAGAGGAUCCAAGAGCGUGAGGCCGACCGAGGUGGUGGAGAGGAAAGGUGGCAGAUUGUUCAUGGGAUCCGUUGAGCUUACUUAUGUGUCAGUCGUCACGCGCAAAUAG